UUAUUUAUCGUUUCUUUUGUAAUGGUUUAGGUUCAACUUUCAAAUGCAACGUGGAUUUGUAGAUCUUAAAUCUGAAGUUUUUUUUUCUAAAGUUAUAUGCAAUUGGUGAGAUACUCACAUAAUUUGUAGUUGCCUGAAUUCAUAGUAAAAACCGUUAAUAUAUCUAAAACAUUGGUUAAAAAUACAAAACUAAAUUUCACACUUCCGAAGCUGGGGUCUACGGAGAUAUAAUAUAAGAUGGAUUUCGUAGAAUAAUUGAGAAGAAGGAUUGCGUAGAAAGGGAAACAACAAGAAGAAAGUAUGAUAAGGUUCUGGUGGUUGUGUUGGAGCUGCGGCUGGAUGCUGAAUUGAGUGAGAGAUUGAGAGAGCGUGUGAAGAAGAGAGACCAUGAAGGUGGAGGUUGGGAAGAUGAAUGGUUUGGUGACUUAUAUGGAGGUGGAUGAGGAUGAGCAGAUGAGUCUGAGUUCUCGAGAUUCUGGACCGUUCAAAUUCACUGCGGCGGAGGAGAUGGUACUUCUCGAUAGGUUUUUUUAUUAGUUGGAUGUUUCAUUUCAAAGCCAAGACUUUAUCUAUCUCACUUGGGCUCCUAGGUGAAUGAUUCUAAUCAUCCUAAUUGGGCUUUUUUUUAUUUGG
rnacentral:lncRNA from 1 species